rnacentral:rRNA from 1 species
AUUAUAAUAAUAUAAGGUAGUAAAUUCUUUAUUUAAAACCUAUUUAUAAUGGCGGCAUUUUAUCUUAAUAGAGGAACCUGUAUUUUAAUCGACAAUCCACGUUAAAUUUCACUUAAAUUAAAAAUUUAUAUACCGCCAUCUAAAAAACUAAUUUUAUAAUAUUAUUUUAAAUAAAAAAUAAAAAGUUAGGUCAAGGUGUAAUCUAUAUUUAAGGAAAUAAUGGGUUACAUUAAAAUAAAUUUAAGGACUUUUAUAUAAAAAUAUAUCAUAAAAAAGGAUUUAUAAGUAUUAUUAUAAUAAUAUUCUAUUAUGAUUAAGAUAAUAAAUGUGCACAUAUCGCCCGUCACCCUUAUCAUAAAGGUAAGGU